rnacentral:rRNA from 1 species
CAGUCGCCACGGUAAUACGUAGGUGGCAAGCGUUGUCCGGAAUUAUUGGGCGUAAAGGGCUCGCAGGCGGUUUCUUAAGUCUGAUGUGAAAGCCCCCGGCUCAACCGGGGAGGGUCAUUGGAAACUGGGAAACUUGAGUGCAGAAGAGGAGAGUGGAAUUCCACGUGUAGCGGUGAAAUGCGUAGAGAUGUGGAGGAACACCAGUGGCGAGGGCGACUCUCUGGUCUGUAACUGACGCUGAGGAGCGAAAGCGUGGGGAGCGAACAGGAUUAGAUACCCCUGUAGUCCCUGUCUCUUAUAC